rnacentral:lncRNA from 1 species
GCUCGUGCUAUCCCUCCACCACGGAGCCCAGCAACAUUGAGUACCUGCCGCAGCGAGCUCCAACCUCAAUGACGAAGCUGCUGUUCGGACGUGCCACCAGCACCAACGCUCAAACAGAGAGCAUCUCUGAAAUUUCCGUCCAAAACUAGCUGUAAUCCAAGCUUGCUCGGAGCCUGCUCCGCAACGUUUUAAGCUGUCCCGACAAGUUCCAGCAAGCGUUUGGGCCACGCUUCACUUUUGCCGCUAGAAGAAGUUUGCUCUCAAUCAACCAUGAAAGGAAGUCCAUUCGGUGGAGAGUUUGCAAUGCUGCAAAGGGAAAAUAAAAAAUAUAAAUUGUGAAAGUGGUGGGAGUCAGGCGAAGAAAAUGUGAUCUGGAUCCAAGAAGAAGAAAGUGAAGUGGAGAUCUUGAAGGAGAGAGAAAGCAUCACAAGAGGGAUAGUCCACAAAUUCAUUGCGGUCCUUUCUUCUUUUUGCUCUAGCCAAGUUGAGGCGUCCAUCUGGCCUACUCGUCCACUCGAUCAAGAACCACCAUCGAAGUUUGUGUUUUGCAGGUCCAUCUCGCCGUCGACGCGGUCGCUGUUUGCUGUUGUCAACAUUGCCGCACGCUGCCCACCGCCAUCCGAGCCUCAAAAUUCACAUAAUUACGGCAACAAACCGAAGGCUUCUCGGCGAAGGCCUGGCUUUAAAUUUGAAGAUUUCUUUUCCAUUGCUUGCGGUGUGGAAUUUACGUGCGUGCAGGUUAUUUGGGUUAAAAGGACUGGUGAACCCGGUCAAAAGGACCAUGUCAGUUUGAAGUCCAAGAGAGCCUUCGUGAGCCAGGCCCAUCUCUUGGAAGUUCAGGCAUCCAUCAGAAAUUUAUCGACCAUCAUCAUUGCUCGACACCACCAGAUUGGUGCAGUGAUAUUGAUGAUCCUCGAUGCUCCGGCGAGUCCUCCAUCGAGCUCAGAGCCAUCACCACCGCAAUUCGCAUGAUUCGUU